CUGGUGUCAGCCGCCGCGGUAAUACCAGCACCCCGAGUGGUCGGGACGUUUAUUGGGCCUAAAGCAUCCGUAGCCGGUUCUGCAAGUCUUCCGUUAAAUCCACCUGCUUAACAGAUGGGCCGCGGAAGAUACUAUAGAGCUAGGAGGCGGGAGAGGCAAGCGGUACUCGAUGGGUAGGGGUAAAAUCCGUUGAUCCAUUGAAGACCACCAGUGGCGAAGGCGGCUUGCCAGAACGCGCUCGACGGUGGGGGAUGAAAGCUGGGGGAGCAAACCGGAUUAGAUACCCGGGUAGUCCCAGCUGUAAACGAUGCAGACUCGGUGAUGAAUUGGCUUCAUGCCAAUUCAGUGCCGCAGGGAAGCCGUUAAGUUUGCCGCCUGGGGAGUUCAAAAGGGAGACUGAAACUUAAAG
rnacentral:rRNA from 2 species